AGCUUUAUAGGCCGGGACCUCCGUGAUCAGGAACGUGGAGACCCCAGGAGGAGACCCUUCCAUUGCACUUCGGAAGGGCUGAGACCUGCUACUCUCCCAAAUUGGGAAAGAUGGGACAUGUAAGUAAAGGAGAGAGUCUCUCUUGCUUUAU
rnacentral:snRNA from 13 species